rnacentral:rRNA from 1 species
UACAGAGGGGGCAAGCGUUGUUCGGAAUUACUGGGCGUAAAGGGCGCGUAGGCGGCCUUCUAAGUCGAACGUGAAAUCCCCGGGCUCAACCCGGGAACUGCGUCCGAUACUGGAAGGCUUGAAUCCGGGAGAGGGAUGCGGAAUUCCAGGUGUAGCGGUGAAAUGCGUAGAUAUCGGAAGGAACAUCAGUGGCGAAAGCGGCUUCCUGGACCAGUACCGACGUUCAGGCACGAAAGCGUGGGGAGCAAACAGG